rnacentral:rRNA from 1 species
GUGGGGAAUAUUGCACAAUGGGCGCAAGCCUGAUGCAGCGACGCCGCGUGGGGGAUGAAGGCCUUCGGGUUGUAAACUCCUUUCGCUAUCGACGAAGCCACUUGUGGUGACGGUAGGUAGAUAAGAAGCACCGGCUAACUACGUGCCAGCAGCCGCGGUAAUACGUAGGGUGCAAGCGUUGUCCGGAAUUACUGGGCGUAAAGAGCUCGUAGGUGGUUUGUCGCGUCGUCUGUGAAAUCCCGGGGCUUAACUUCGGGCGUGCAGGCGAUACGGGCAUAACUUGAGUGCUGUAGGGGAGACUGGAAUUCCUGGUGUAGCGGUGAAAUGCGCAGAUAUCAGGAGGAACACCGAUGGCGAAGGCAGGUCUCUGGGCAGUUACUGACGCUGAGGAGCGAAAGCAUGGGUAGCGAACAGGAUUAGAUACCCUAGUAGUCC